rnacentral:rRNA from 1 species
AUUGAACGCUGGCGGCAGGCCUAACACAUGCAAGUCGAGCGGAGCGGCGGACGGGUGAGUAAUGCCUAGGAAUCUGCCUGGUAGUGGGGGAUAACGUCCGGAAACGGGCGCUAAUACCGCAUACUAUCAGAUGAGCCUAGGUCGGAUUAGCUAGUUGGUGGGGUAAAGGCCUACCCAAGCGACGCUCCGUAACUGGUCUGAUAGGAUGAUCAGUCACACUGGAACUGAGACACGGUCCAGACUCCUACGGGAGGCAGCAGUGGGGAAUAUUGGACAAUGGGCGAAAGCCUGAUCCAGCCAUGGCGCGUGGGUGAAGAAGGUCUUCGGAUUGUAAAGCACUUUAAGUUGGGAGGCGUUACCCGCAGAAGAAGCACCGGCUAACUCCGUGCCAGCAGCCGCGGUAAUAC